CCCUUAGAUGUUCUGGGCCGCACGCGCGCUACAAUGAUGAAUUCAACGAGUUUAUAACCUUGGUUGAAAAGCCUGGGUAAUCUUUUGAACUUUCGUCGUGAUGGGGCUAGACCCUUGCAAUUAUUGGUCUCCAACGAGGAAUUCCUAGUAAACGCAAGUCAUCAGCUUACAUUGAUUACGUCCCUGCCCUUUGUACACACCGCCCGUCGCACCUACCGAUUGAAUGGUCCGGUGAAAUCUUCGGAUUGAGACUUUGAUUUCUUCACGGAAAACGCUGUUUUAAAAAGUUGAUUAAACCUUACCAUUUAGAGGAAGGUGAAGUCGUAACA
rnacentral:rRNA from 1 species